rnacentral:misc_RNA from 1 species
UGAGUAGCCAUAUUUGACGC